GGAGGUUUAGCUCAGUAGUAGAGCAUGUGCUUAGCAUGUGCAAGGCCCUGGGUUCAAUCCCAGCACCA
rnacentral:tRNA from 1 species